CCUACGGGAGGCAGCAGUGGGGAAUAUUGGGCAAUGGGCGCAAGCCUGAUCCAGCAACGCCGCGUGAAGGAAGAAGGCUUUCGGGUUGUAAACUUCUUUUAAGGGGGAAGAGCAGAAGACGGUACCCCUUGAAUAAGCCACGGCUAACUACGUGCCAGCAGCCGCGGUAAUACGUAGGUGGCAAGCGUUGUCCGGAUUUACUGGGUGUAAAGGGCGUGCAGCCGGAGAGACAAGUCAGAUGUGAAAUCCACGGGCUCAACCCGUGAACUGCAUUUGAAACUGUCUCCCUUGAGUGUCGGAGAGGUAAGCGGAAUUCCUUGUGUAGCGGUGAAAUGCGUAGAUAGAAGGAAGAACACCAGUGGCGAAGGCGGAUUACUGGACGAUAACUGACGGUGAGGCGCGAAAGUGUGGGGAGCAAACAGGAUUAGAUACCCUGGUAGUC
rnacentral:rRNA from 1 species